rnacentral:rRNA from 1 species
UGGGGAAUAUUCCACAAUGGGCGCAAGCCUGAUGCAGCCAUGCCGCGUGUAUGAAGAAGGCCUUCGGGUUGUAAAGUACUUUCAGUCGGGAGGAAGGUGGUAAGGUUAAUAACCUUAUCAAUUGACGUUACCGACAGAAGAAGCACCGGCUAACUCCGUGCCAGCAGCCGCGGUAAUACGGAGGGUGCAAGCGUUAAUCGGAAUUACUGGGCGUAAAGCGCACGCAGGCGGUCUGUCAAGUCGGAUGUGAAAUCCCCGGGCUCAACCUGGGAACUGCAUUCGAAACUGGCAGGCUAGAGUCUUGUAGAGGGGGGUAGAAUUCCAGGUGUAGCGGUGAAAUGCGUAGAGAUCUGGAGGAAUACCGGUGGCGAAGGCGGCCCCCUGGACAAAGACUGACGCUCAGGUGCGAAAGCGUGGGGAGCAAACAGG